GCAGAAAGAUGCGACAGCGUGAGAAGGAUUCCACGUGCUCUGGCCUGCUCUGAGAUGUAGGGACCUUGUGCACAAACCAGAGAGAGGUCGCUAGGAGCCAAAGGUGGUCCCCAGCUGACAACCAGCAAGGAAACAGGGACCUCAGUCCAACAGCGAAUGGAACUGAAUUCUGCCAACGACCUGAAUGAGCCUGGAGCAGAUCCUGCCCCACAGCCUCCUGAAGGGAAGACAGCCCUGCCAACACCUUGAUCUCAGCCUUGUGAGGCUUGAAGCAGAGAAACCAGCUGAGCCCACCCGAAUGCUAACCUACAGAACCGAAUUGUGAGAUGAUGGAUAGAGUCCUCUUCCUGACCAGAGCUCACUUAACUCCAUAAAGUGAAGGCCAGCUAUAAGGUAAUUUCUAGAAUUCUGUUUCCUUUCCGUACUCAUUUCAAGAAGAAAAAGACAAAUAUAAAGUAUAAAGAAAACAAUAAAUAUAUAGAAAAGUCUUCUUUACAGGUUGUUUGAGCUGCAAACAACAUCUCAAAAUUAGGACCACUCUAUGCGCAUUUUAUGUUUCUCAUUUAAUUAUCUAUCACAGACAUCCAAGAAACGCUUAUAACCCAUACCCCCAGCACCUAUGCCAUUCCUGACAUACAAUGUAGUGCCUAAUAAAUAUUUGUUGAAUCAAUGAAUAUGGAAAAAUGCAAACCAAGCACUUGAAAUAUUAUGCUACAUUUCUUUCGGCUUGAACUCCACGCUAAUGAGCAAGGGAGGUCACUGGAGCAGUGUGAGGGCCAUCAUGAGUUUUCUAUUUCAACAACCAGUGCCAAAUUCUUAAUGCCAGAUGGGACGAGAUGGGAUGUUAAACCGCUUCUUAUUACCACGUUGUUGGCCUCCAUUGCCUCGGUAUUAUUCUCCGAUUGCUUCGUCUCUGUGGAUCUCUGACUCCUUAUUACCUCCAAUUGGAACGCCCCACAAAUCAUCCUGCGUUCUUUAUCCUCUCUCACCUCAAAGUAAUCCUGUCAUCUUGCUCCAGUUAGAGCCACUUCCAUUAAGAAGAUUGUGGCAAAUUCUCUCCCUACCUGUUGGCUCUUCAGGAAAAUUAUCCUCUGGAUAAGUGAAAGUUACAGACACUUUUCAGAACGUUUUUAGUCUGAAUUUCUCCCCUCUUCCAACAUUUUCCUAAGCCAGUUACCUUUGCAUUGGAGUGAAAUUAAAUUCAAGGAGAUAGAGGUUCUGA
rnacentral:lncRNA from 1 species